rnacentral:rRNA from 1 species
GGGCCCGCACAAGCAGCGGAGCGUGUGGUUUAAUUCGACGCAACGCGCAGAACCUUACCAGGACUUGACAUGCUUCUGACAGAGGCGGAAACGUCUUCUCUCUUCGGAGCAGAUGCACAGAUGCUGCAUGGCUGUCGUCAGCUCGUGCCGUGAGGUGUUGGGUUAAGUCCCGCAACGAGCGCAACCCUCGUCGCUAGUUGAAUUCUCUAGCGAGACUGCCGGUAGAAAACCGGAGGAAGGUGGGGAUGACGUCAAGUCAGCAUGGCUCUUACGUCCUGGGCUACACACACGCUACAAUGGCCGGUACAAUGGGCUGCCAAGGGGCGACCCGGAGCUAAUCCCAAAAAGCCGGUCUCAGUUCGGAUUGCAGGCUGCAACCCGCCUGCAUGAAGUCGGAGUUGCUAGUAACCGCAAGUCAGCACAUUGCGGUGAAUAUGUUCCCGGGCCUU